rnacentral:ncRNA from 12 species
CUCAACCGGGUCUGUGGUUGCCCGGGGAUCUUCCCCGGUAGUCGACGCCAGCCGCGGGCGAAACGACCCACGUAAGGCGACCUUUGGUCGCCGAGCAUGGCGCGGUUUAGAUGUAAGUCCUGCCGUGGCACCGGGCACGGGGUCGCGAGAGGGCGGGAGUGCGGUCGCCACGGACGUCCAGGCGACCGGGCGAGCGCUCCGGCAGGCGAGUGUGGGGGCAAAGACCAGGUCAGCCGGGCGAG